rnacentral:rRNA from 1 species
GACGAACGCUGGCGGCGUGCCUAAUACAUGCAAGUCGAGCGGACUUAUUUGAGUAGCUUGCUAUUUAGAUAAGUUAGCGGCGGACGGGUGAGUAACACGUGGGUAAUCUGCCUCGUAGACUGGGAUAACAGGCCGAAAGGUUUGCUAAUACCGGAUGAGUUCGUGUUUCUGCAUAGAGACACGAAGAAAGGGGAAACCCGCUAUGAGAUGAGCCCGCGUCCCAUUAGCUAGUUGGUGGGGUAAAAGCCUACCAAGGCGACGAUGGGUAGCCGGCCUGAGAGGGUGGACGGCCACACUGGGACUGAGACACGGCCCAGACUCCUACGGGGGGCAGCAGUAGGGAAUCUUCGGCAAUGGGCGAAAGCCUGACCGAGCGACGCCGCGUGAGGGACGAAGGCCUUCGGGUUGUAAACCUCUGUCUGGGGGACGAGAACGGACGGUACCCCGGAGGAAGCCCCGGCUAACUACGUG